AAGCUGUAGGGAAGAGGCUUUGUUAAGGAGAAAACAACAAGAAGGGCUAUAGAGGGCCAUUAUCAAUCUACAGCAUUGGAAAAAGUGUUUGAAGCACAAUGAGGGUAUUCUCCCAGUUCCAACACAACAAUUAUUUGUGCACACUUUAACAAAACCUUGGACACACUCUUUUUCAUGAAGACAGGAGCAGAACUGAAGACAAUCUUAACAGAUUAGAGAGAUGAUUAGCCAAAACGAUCAAAACGAAGAUCAGGGACAAAUGCAAGAUACUCAACUUAGGCAGAAAAAAUGAAAUGCAAAGAUACAGUAUGGCAGGUGCCUGGCUCAUCAGUAUGUGUGAAAAAGAUCUUGGAGUCCUUAAGGAGGUAGGUGAACAUGAGCCAACAAUGUGAGGUGGCAGUUAAAAAAGCCAAUGGCAUUUUGGCCUACAUAAAUAGGAGUCUAGUGCCUGGGUCUAGGGAAGUCGUGCUACCCCUCUAUUCUACCUUGGUCAGACUACACCUGGAGUCAUACUUUGUCCCAUUCUGGGCACCACAACUUAAGGGAGAUGUUGACAAGCUGGAAUGUGUCCAGAGGGCAAUUAAAAGGAUCAAGGGUCUGGAGAACAAGCCCUAUGAGGAGCGGCUUAAAUUGCUGGGCAUGUUUAGCCUGCAAAAGAGAAGGCUGAGAGGAGACAUGAUGAGGGACAUCUAUCAAGAUGGGAGGGGAAGUCAUAGGGAGGAGGGAGCAAGCUUGUUUUCUGCUGCCCUGGAGACUAGGAUGCGGAACAAUGGCUUCAAAGUACAGGAAAGAAAAGAGAUUCCACUUGAACAUUAGGAAGAAUUUCCUCACUGUGAGAUAGAGCUGUUCAGCAGUGAAACUCUCUGCCCCAGAGUGUGGUGGAGGCUCCUUCUUUGGAAGCUUUUAAGCAGAAGUUGGACGGCCAUCUGUCAGGGAUGCUUUUCAUGCAAUUUUCCUGCUUCUUGGCAGAAUGGGGUUGGACUGGAUGGCCUGCCAGGUCUCUUCCAACUCUAUGAUUCUAAGUCGUUUUACAUUCCCUUAAACCGCUCAUCCUCUGACAAGCCAGAAGUCUUUUAGCAGCAUUAGCAUGGAGAGUAUGAAAGAGGACUGGAGAAAAUUGGGUGAAAGAAAGAAAAAGUAAUCCCUGGAUGCAUUUUAGAAUGAGCCUUUAGGUGGUAUCAGGAAGCUUCAAAAUAAUUUUGUUCAUCUCUGCCAGACUGAGCUGACCUGGUUAUUUCAUUUGAUAUGUGCAUUAGUUCUGAAGCCACAUUGAACUGCCUAUUCUCCCUCUCCUUGUUCUUUCCAUGUUAUUUCUCUUCCUGGCACCAAUUCUUCUGUUAAAAGAAGUCACAUCCAGGAACACACUGGCUUUAUUAACUAAGGGAUACCUGCCCUGCGUUCUGAUUUUUAAUUCUGGGUGGGAAAAGAAGGGGCGGGGGGGAGACAAAGAGGCCCAGAAGCAGGGAAAUGAGUCAUUGGAGCUUCAAAACAUGCUAGAAGGUGAUUCGGCCAAAUCCCCCGCACUGUUCCUAGCUUCAAGGUAGCCAGCACAUUUUAUUUUUAUUUAUUUAUUUAUUAUUCAAACUUAUAUGCCGCCACUCCCCUAGGGCUCAGGGCGGUUUACAAGAACAGGCUAAAAUCUAACAAUUUAAAAGCAUCUUAAAAACAUCUUUAAAAACAUCUUUAAAAUAUCCUAAAAGCAUCUUUUAAAAAUAUCAAUAACAAUUUUAGGACACAAAAGGCACUCAGCGGGAAGGAAAUACAGAAGAAUUCCUACCUGUAAGACCCACUUGUUUUUUUUAAGCCUUACCUUGCUCCCAUUCUGAUACUGGUACAGCAUGGCUGUAAUGGCCGUCUUAUGCCCAGCAGGAAAGGGCCCAUUUCACCCGAAAUGAAGCAUCUCUGAGAGCUGGCAAUUCACUCAUCAACCGUCUUUCUCCUUUAUGCCUGCUUUCCUAAUCUUAUUUUCAAUCAGAGGCAGCUAACACCUCCCAACAAAGGAUGCCCCCCAGACAGGAAGCAGCCAGGCAUUGAAGCUGCAAGGUUAUUCAAUGCUAAUCAAGAUGGCCAAUUGCAACAUUCAUACUUGUCUCCUUCUUUCUCACACUCUGGAAAUUCCACAGAUAUAAACCCCACUUGCCUAGUUUCCAACAGAGCUCACAACCUCUGAGGGUGCCUCCCAUAGAUGUGGGCAAAACAUCAAGCGAGAAUGCUUCUGGAACAUAGCCAUACAGCCCAGAAAACUUGCAGCAACCCAGUGAUUCCAGACAUAAAAGCCUUUGACAACACACAAAACGGAGUAUUCCUUGCCUUAGAAAAGUCUACAAAAUUAUUUGGUUGUCAUAAGUCAACAGGCGACUCAAAGGCACAUACACACACACAGAAAGGAUCUACACUGCAAAAUGUGCAAUGGUUUGAGUCCUAGAUUAGGAUUUGGGGAGGCAAAAGUUUGAAUUUCUACUCAGUCAAGUUAAGUAGAAGGCAAACCACCUCUGAAUGAAUCUUGCCAAGCGAACCCUAGGAUAGGGACAUCGUAAAUCAGAGCUGACACAAUGUUUAUGCAAACAUCAUCACUGUUUGCAUAACGGUAUGAAGCAGCACAAGUAGGCAAAAUUGACUGCUCCUAUCUGCAAGGAACCUGCAGACUCAGAUUACCAAAUCCCCUUUUUGGAAGAUGUCGAGGGAGAAAAGUAAUUAAAGGAGGCCAAGUCUCAGGUUGGCAGGAUGGAGCGACUUGCUUUGGGCUGUCAUGAUGCCACAAUGACUAACCAGAGGUGGGAAGGAGGCCCGUGGGAUGCCAGAAAACAACGGCAGUCGGUGGAUGGGAAGAGCCGCAUUAAGGAUGUUCAAAUCCUGGGGAUUUGCUACUGAUCGUAAAACCAGUGUUCAGUCCAACCCCCAGAGGAAUGAAGGCUCUACAGAUCUGCUCCCGGGAAGAAUGCAUAUACAGGCACUCCCAAUCUAUAUAUAUAAAAGGGUAAUGAAAUUUCAGCCUAGGACAAAACAAAAAAACUACACAUCCCAGAAACACUAAAUUUGGCAGCACAACCCCUCAUCCAUGCCUCUACGUUCAUACAACAAAAAGAAAAGAAAAAUAAAGUCCUAAUUAGAGAGAGAGGAAUAAUUGUUUUUAUCCAAUUGCUGCCAGUUACAAGGCCAAGCUCCGCCCACUUGGUCUCCUAGCAACCCACUCAGCCCAGGGGACAGGCACAAUUAGGCCUCACUUAGGCCUCUUCCCCACUGCCUAUAAAAUACAGAUUAUCAGAUUUGAACUGGAUUAUAUGGCAGUGUAGACUCAAGGCCCUUCCACACAGCUAUAUAACCCAUUUAUAAUCUUAUAUUAUCUGCUUUGAACUGGAUUAUCUUGACUCCACGCUGCCAUAUAAUCCACUUCUGUGUGCAGUCGGACACAACUGGACUUAAUGUCAGGAGAAAACCUUUACCCUUUACCUUAACUAACACCAAUUCCUCAAUACUUUAUUUCCCAUACCACCAUACUUUGCCACAGCAACGCGUGGCCGGGCGCAGCUAGUCUUCUAUAUAUAUAUAAAAGGGUAAUGAAAUUUCGCCCUAGGAGAAAACAACAAAACGACACAUCCCAGAAACGCUAAACUUGGCAGCACAACCCCUCAUCCAUGCCUCUACAUUCAUACAACAAAAAGAAAAGAAAAAUAAAGUCAUAAUUAGAGGGAGAGGAAUAAUUGUUUUUAUCCAAUUGCUGACAGUUAGAAGGCUAAGCUCCGCCCACUUGGUCUCCUAGCAAGCCACUCAGCCCAGGCGACAGGGAGAGUUAGGCCUCACUUAGGCCUCUUCCACACUGCCUAUAUUUUAUCUGAUUUGAACUGGAUUAUAUGGCAGUGUAGACUCAAGACCCUUCCACACAGCUUAUAACCCAUUUAUAAUCUUAUAUUAUCUGCUUUGAACUGGAUUAUCUUGAGUCCACACUGCCAUAUAAUCCACUUCAGUGUGCAUUUUAUACAGCUGUGUACAAGGGGCCUCAUAUAAUCCAGUUCUAAGCAGAUAAUAUAAGAUUAUAAAUAUACAGUAGAGUUUCACUUAUCCAACAUAAACAGGCCGGCACAACAUUGGAUAAGUGAAUAUGUUGGAUAAUAAGAAGAGAUUCAGGAAAAGCCUAUUAAACAUCAAAUUAGGUAAUCAUUAUUGCAAUAUUUUAUGUGCUUCUACUGUCUGUGUAGAUGAAGAAGUACCCAUAUGCAGUGCUUGAGCACACACAAUAAAAAAAAGUCUGUGGCCCUGAGAAAACAGAGGAUUUGGCAGACUUUGGUGAUGGGAAUACUUUGUUGGGAGGGGUUAGCUGGCCCUGAUUGUUUCCUGUGUGGAAUUCCCCUAUUUUCAGAGUGUUGUUCUUUAUUUAGUGUUCUGAUUUUAGAGAUUGUAUUGGUCUGUUUUAUUAUACCACAGUAAUUUUUAUAUAUUCUGAUUUUAGUGUUUUUGAAUACUUGGAGCAAGAUUGUGUUCAUUUUCACAGUUCACAGGAACACAAUAAUAAUAAUAAUAAUAAUAAUAAUAAUAAUAAUAAUAAUAAUAAUAAUAAUACGAAUAAUAAUAAUAGUAAUGAUAGUAAUAAUAAUGACUUUGGUAAUACACACUGCUUCACUCCCUUUUCAGCUUCCUUUCUGGAAGAAUCCUUUACUGGGAGGUGUUAGCUGGCCCUGAUUGUUUCCUUUGUGGAAUUCCCAAUUUCCCUGCUUUCAGAGUGUUGCUCUUUAUUGACUGUCCUGGUUUUAGAGAUUAUAUUGUUCUGUAUUAUUCUAGCACAGUAAUUAUUUCAUAUUACAGUAGAAUGUCACUUUGUUCAAUUUGAUGUUUAAUAGGCUCUUCCUUAAUCCCUCCUUAUUAUCCAACAUAUUUGCUUAUCCAACAUUCUGCCGGCCCAUUUAUGUUGGAUAAGUGAGACUCUACUGUAAUAUAUUGUAUAUACAUAUAAUAUUGAAAAUAUUAUAAGGUACCAUAAUAAAAUAUAAUAGUAGUAAUAACACUAUUAUAAUUGUAUAUUUAUAUUACAUGUAAUACUGCUAAUAAUAUUGCAAUAUAGUGUUAUAGUACAAUACAGUAAUAUAUAAUGCUUAUAUUGUGCAAUGCUAAUAAUAUAAUGUAUGUACAUAUAACUUGUAAGCCGCCCUGAAUCCUCUUCGGGGUGAGAAGGGCGGGAUAUAAAUGUUGGUAAUAAAUAAAUAAUAUAUAUAGAGAGAGCUAGCCUAUAUAGAAAGAAGGAAGAACUGAGCCAUAAGGGAAUCUCAAAGCCUCUCACUCAUGCUGCUCUGCAUUUCCAGGUUAAUCAGCCAGCAUCAGCAAAUGGAAAGAAGGCCUGGCAGCUCUCGUUAUCCAGGGCUGACUAACGAGGUAAAGAAAGCCUAGGGAAAAGAGACGAUGAAAAGCCGAAACUUAAGAGCUGGAGGAGGGUGAACACUGCAAAGCAAUGAUUCUGGUGUGAUGCUCACGUCAUCGAUGGCUUCACAGAUAGCAGGGCUGUGGCACAACUGGUUAGUAGCCAGCUGCAAUAAAUCACUACUGACAGAGAGGUCAUGAGAUUGAAGCCCGGGUGUCACAAGUGGACGAUGAAGUGGCAGCUCCUCCUAUGGCCGGAAUCGAGCAUACCCUCAUGAAGCCAGAAGCUGGAAAAUGUUACAUUGCUCUGUGUAUUUCUGUAUGUCGUAUGUCUAAUGGCAUCGAAUAUUUGCCAUGUAUAUGUGCAUUGUGAUCCACCCUGAGACCCCUUCGGGGUGAGAAGGGUGGAAUAUAAAUACUGUAAAUAAAUAAAUUAAAUAAAUACA